GUGGCGAACGGGUGAGUAACACGUGAGUAACCUGCCCUUGACUCUAGGAUAAGCCCGGGAAACUGGGUCUAAUACUGGAUAGGAACGUCUACCGCAUGGUGGGUGUUGGAAAGAAUUUCGGUCAUGGAUGGACUCGCGGCCUAUCAGCUUGUUGGUGAGGUAAUGGCUCACCAAGGCGACGACGGGUAGCCGGCCUGAGAGGGUGACCGGCCACACUGGGACUGAGACACGGCCCAGACUCCUACGGGAGGCAGCAGUGGGGAAUAUUGCACAAUGGGCGAAAGCCUGAUGCAGCGACGCCGCGUGAGGGAUGACGGCCUUCGGGUUGUAAACCUCUUUCAGUAGGGAAGAAGCGAAAGUGACGGUACCUGCAGAAGAAGCACCGGCUAACUACGUGCCAGCAGCCGCGGUAAUACGUAGGGUGCGAGCGUUAUCCGGAAUUAUUGGGCGUAAAGAGCUCGUAGGCGGUUUGUCGCGUCUGUCGUGAAAGUCCGGGGCUUAACCCCGGAUCUGCGGUGGGUACGGGCAGACUAGAGUGCAGUAGGGGAGACUGGAAUUCCUGGUGUAGCGGUGGAAUGCGCAGAUAUCAGGAGGAACACCGAUGGCGAAGGCAGGUCUCUGGGCUGUAACUGACGCUGAGGAGCGAAAGCAUGGGGAGCGAACAGGAUUAGAUACCCUGGUAGUCCAUGCCGUAAACGUUGGGCACUAGGUGUGGGGAACAUUCCACGUUUUCCGCGCCGCAGCUAACGCA
rnacentral:rRNA from 1 species